rnacentral:lncRNA from 1 species
UUUGGUCCAAAUUCCCCCAUUUUUGGGGCUCAUUUUGCCCUGAUUUUUGGGCUGAAUUCCCCCCUUUUCGGGUCCAAUUUUUGGGGUGAGUUCCCCCAUUUUCAGGUCUAAUUUUUGGGCUGAAUUCCCCCCUUUUUGGGGCCCAUUUUUGGGCUGAAUUCCCCCCAUUUUCGGGGCACAUUUUGGGCUGAAUUCCCCCAUUUUGGGGGCUCAUUUUGGGCUCAUUUUUGGGGUGAAUUCCACCCUUUUGAGGUCCGAUUUUUGGGCUGAAUUCCCCCCUUUUCGGGUCAGAUUUUUGGGCUGAAUUCCCCCCAUUUUUAGGUCCGAUUUUUGGGCUGAAAUCCCCCCUUUUUGGGGCCCAUUUUUGGGCUGAAUUCCCCCCUUUUCGGGGCUCAUUUUUGGGCUGAACUCCCCCCUUUUUUAGGUCGGAUUUUUGGGCUGAAUCCCCCCAUUUUUGGGUCUGAUUUUUGGGCUGAAUUCCCCCCUUUUCGGGGCUCAUUUUUGGGGUGAAUUCCGCCGUUUUUGGGCUCACCGUUCUCCCCUUUCUUGAAGUAGGCCCACAGUUUGUCGGCCCGUUUCUGGGGGCUGUUCUCGUCCUCGGGCAGCAGGCGCCGCUCCUCCUCCGGGAUCAUCUUAAAGAUGGCCUAUGGGGCAGCCCCACUGCGACCCAUAAGUGCUGCCCCAUAGCGACCCAUAGCUGCCCCACAGCUGCCCCAUAGCUGCCCCGUAGUGCCCCAUUGCUGCCCCAUAACUGCCCCACAGUGCCCCCAUAGGCUCCUCUAGGAUCAUCUUAAAGAUGACCUGUGGGGCAGCCCCACUGCGACCCAUAAGUGCUGCCCCAUAGCGCCCCAUAGCUGCCCCACUGCUGCCCCAUAGCUGCCCCAUAACCGCCCCACAGUGCCCCCAUAGGCUCCUCCGGGAUCAUCUUAAAGAUGGCCUGUGGGGCAGCCCCACUGCGACCCAUAAGUGCCGCCCCAUAGCGCCCCAUAGCUGCCCCAUAGCCGCCCCAUAACCGCCCCACAGUGCCCCCAUAGGCUCCUCUGGGAUCACCUUAAUGCUGGCCUGUGGGGCAGCCCCACCGCGACCCGUAAGUGCCGCCCCAUAGCGACCCAUAGCUGCCCCACAGCUGCCCCAUAGCCGCCCCAUAACUGCCCCACAGUGCCCCCAUAGGCUCCUCUGGGAUCACCUUAAUGCUGGCCUGUGGGGCAGCCCCACCGCGACCCAUAAGUGCCG